GGCUAACAGAGGGAGCCAGCAGACGGUGCGUGAGUGUCGCACCUGUGGGAAGUUGUGUGCGUCCAAUGCUAACAACCACCGCAGACAUAAGGACCACGUUUGGACAGACUGCCAUUGAACUGCGUGUCAUGGAGGAGUAACCAGCUGCUGCUCAUUGAUGGAAGACAUCAUCGGCUGCUCUGAGCGUAUAUGUGCAGUACAUGGAGUCCCUUUCUCUUCUGAAUCCUGGCCUGAAACUAAAAGUGAAAUGGAGCAGCUCGGGAUCGAAGCCUCUGCUGCAGUCGCAUGUCUCAAAAGAAAAAUAACUCCAUAUGAUGUGGUUGGAGUCUUAAGGAAAAGUGUAAAAGCAGGCGAUGGGCAAAUCCCAAAAACUAACACUGGGCUUGUUAAAAGGGAGCAAGUUAGUGCUUUGGACUUGCCUGAUUUCAAAGUGAUGUAAUACACACAGAGCGCAAAUAGCAACUGGAUGAAGGACUGUGGCCAUGACCUCUCUGUCUAGGGAACCCAUUUUCAUAGUAACUAAACACCAAUGAAAUGCCUUCCCUGGAAUGAGCUAAGCCAGAGCACCAGCCAUCCAAUAAAAGGGAUAGGGAUACGUAAAUAUGCUGAACAGGAAAUAAUAUUAGGGAUGUAAAAUGAAACUGCACAAACCUGUACUGAUGACCUCUUUAAUUUCUUCCAAACUCCAUUUCAUCUGGUGCUAAUAAAUGUAUUGAGAAUAUUCUGGGGGAUUUGCUGAAAUAUGAAAUGCACAAUGUCUGCUUUUUGAAUCACUUCAAUUUAAUAGCACUGAUAAAAAGCUUCUCUUUGAGCAUUAAUUUGCCAGUGCAGAGUGAUUGCAUUUAACUCCCCUAACCUCAGCUAUCCUGUGGUUAAUAAAUAAAAUAUCCUGUUUUUCCAACAGGAUGA